rnacentral:misc_RNA from 1 species
AGUAAAAUAGUACGUGAAAUUGUUGAAAGGGAAACGAUUGAAGUCAGUCGUACCGACGAGAAAUCAGCUCUUCGAGUGCGAAGUUGUGGGCGUGUGAGAGUCUUUAACCGGGCCUCGCUGUUUGCAAUUUUGUGCUUUUUGGGUGUACUUUUUCGUAUGGUAGGCCAACGUCAGUUUUGAUUACCGUAAAAUGAUCGGAGGAAUGUAGCUUCGAUCUCGUAUUGAAGUGUUAUAGCCUCUGGUAGAUGCGGUGACCGAAACUGAGGAUUGCAACGAAUACCCUUUUGGGCUAUCCGUCUGGCCUCUGAAAGUUGCUUAGGUGCCGAAAGCGUGCUUACGGCUAUUUAAGUUGACGGUCAACAGGUUAGAACGUGAUUACAUUCGUUAAGGACGUUGGCGUAAUGGCUUUAAA